AGGUCAGAGGCAAGAAAGCAUGACCUGCAUUUAAGACUGUAUCUUCCAGUUACCCCUACUAUAAAGGAUAUCGCAAGGAGGGGUGCAGUGCCUCCGCCCCAGCUUUUGGCUUUCAGUGCUCUUUAACCUUUUCUCUCAAGGCUGAGUACCUUCACUCUAGAAGUUAGCAAACUGAGCACUGUGAACGAGCAUGUUGUAAGGGCUUCCAGAAGUCCAAAGCCCCACUCUGAAAACUGCCCACGAUUUCUCAGAACCCAGGUGCUUCAGGGGAAGUGAAGGAAAAAGGUGGGAUGCAUUGUUAGUGAAUAAAAAGAGCCAGGAGCCUCCAGCAGUUCGGGCCUGCCCAACAGCAUGAUAUCCAGCCAACCCAAUUCUACUUUGGAGCCUCCAUCUCUGUCUAAAAUGAAUGGUUUGGUCUUGACCGUCAUCAAGAUUACUGGCAAUUCCUUAAGUCUGUAGUAAGAUACAAUCAGAUGUGAGGCUCAGACACAUCCUUACCAAGGCUCCCAUAGGUGUGCAAAAGUCCUUAUCCUUGUCUUUGAGGAGUUUUCCACAGACAGAAGACUCAAAUGUUCCCACACAAAUGGCUUACAAAGGCACAAGCCAAACAAGACAGAAGACAAGAAGCUGUAGGAAUGAAUGGGCAGAUCUCUGGUCCAGACCAACAUAGCGUGGUGCAAAUAGUGACCUGGAGACUCUUACCCCACCACCUGCUGGAUCCUUUGGGCCAGGUCACCAUAACAUACCUCAAGGAUGGCCCCAACUCACAUAGAAAGGAUCUUGGAAGUCACCCCAUGGCCCACCUAAGUGUAAGUUUUAGCAUAACUCCUAAUAUAUUAUUUCUAAUAAA